rnacentral:lncRNA from 11 species
AAAACGUCAAUUCAAAUUAUUAAUUGAAAAAUUUAUAACGAUACAAAUGGGAAUUUUAAGUUUAUCUUUUGUAAAUAGACCUGUAAAUUUUUACACAGAUCCAGAAUCUAAGAAUAUAUAUUUCUCCAUCUGUGAUUAAAAAAUUUAAGAACUCUAAAAUUAAAUUAAAAAAUUCUUCCACAAAAGAAAAGAAUUCCUUGACACGGGGAAGAAGAGGAGAGGGAGAGCUUACAUUUUCAUCGUAAUCAAUCGCUGAUGAGCUCGCCGUCAGUAAUGACGGCCGACGUGUGCGGAAGUGUUGGAUGGAAAAUGUUUGGAUAAUCGCCGCUUAAUUGGAAACACGAUAACCUUCGGGAUUAUUAGGUUCGUUUGCGGGAUCUGGCCCGAAUCAGGGAGAAGGUCUAACGGGUAGUAAAUUACUCAUUGGCCGCGAACCUUCGUUUUCGACCAGGAAUAGCUCGAACGAAAAGUAGAUCAAUACAUAUCUUACCUAGAUGGUCAAACAAAGUUUUCAACAUCCUUAUCACCGCGUAACAUAAAUUGGUAAGAUUACCAAGUAUUGCAAAUAUCUCGGGAAUUGGAUCGAGAGUGUUAAAUAGAUUAAACAAGAUUAUCCUAAAUCUCGUUAUUUUUUUUUUCCUUUUUUUUAAGCAUCAACGCUCUCGUCGAGAGGUAAAAUUUAAAACUAUCAAUUAAAUUUUGAACGAGAAAGAGGACGUUGGAUAAGGAGGGAAGAAGUUUGGAAGAAGAGGAGGGGGAGGAGGGCACACGAUGGCAAAAAUCCGUCGAAAUCGGAUGACAUUUCGACGGUUUGGCAGUUUGCAAAGCUGACGCGAGCUCUGCCCGCCGUUUCUCUCAACUUCUCGAUGUGAUCGGAAUACGAUCGAGCCAAGCAAAUUAUUCGUAUCGUGCGAACCUUUACGAAUAAUAAUCGAGGAGAAGCCAAACUCGGAGCCACUCGGAUCGAUGUGUGUACUUACUUGUUGAUCACGUCUUUCUCUGUUUUUUUUUUUUCUUUAACCAAACGUAUUGCACAAUUACGUUUUGUAAUUCGAUUAAAAGAAUUAAUAUAUGUACGUAUAUUGGAUUAUAUAGGAUAUCUCUAUGUUACUAUUCAUAUUUGUUAGUUAUUUCAAAUUAUGAUAUAUACGUGUGGAGAUAUAUUGAAAUACGGUGCGGACUUAUGCUGGAGGUAAUGAAGGAUUGGAUAACUACGUUAUUCAAGCAAUAUUAAUUUUUUGUGAAAUGUAAUUACAUUGAAACGAAGAAUAUUGGAUAGUUACGUGAUAUAAUAUAACCACGUGAUAUAUCUAACUGUGAUAUAAGUACCUGUAGCAUUUAAACUUUGCAACUUUGCUACGAAGAAUAAUGAAUAAUGAACAAAGAAAUUGAAA